rnacentral:tRNA from 1 species
GAGCAAGAAGCAAAAUAUUUGCAUUUAGUUUCGACCUAAAAGUUUGAUGUAUAUCCUUGCUUA